rnacentral:rRNA from 1 species
AAUCAACGCUGGCGGCGUGCUUAACACAUGCAAGUCGAGCGGUAAGGCCCUUUCGGGGGUACACGAGCGGCGAACGGGUGAGUAACACGUGGGUGACCUGCCCUCAGCUCUGGGAUAAGCCUGGGAAACCGGGUCUAAUACCGGAUAUGACUCCAUGACGCAUGUUGUGGGGUGGAAAGCCUUGUGCGGCUGAGGAUGGGCCCGCGGCCUAUCAGCUUGUUGGGGGGUGA